rnacentral:rRNA from 1 species
AACGAACGCUGGCGGCAUGCCUAACACAUGCAAGUCGAACGAGACCUUCGGGUCUUGUGGCGCACGGCUUCGUAACGCGUGGGAACCUGCCCUUAGGGUCAGCAUAACUCCCCGACAGGGGUGCUAAUACCAGAUAAUGUCUUCGGACCAAAGAUUUAUCGCCUUUGGAUGGUCCCUCGUUGGAUUAGCUAGUUGUUAGGGUAAAAGCCUACCAAGGCGACGAUCCAUAGCUGGUCUGAGAGGAUGAUCAGCCACACUGGGACUGAGACACGGCCCAGACUCCUCCGCGAGGCAGGAGUGGGGAAUAGUGGACAGCCGGCGAAAUCCUGAUGCAGCAAUGCCGCGUGAGUGAUGAAGGCCUUAGGGUUGUAAAGCUCUAUUACCCGGGAUGAUAAUGACAGUACCGGGAGAAUAAGCCCCGGCUAACUCCGUG